UUGGCGGACGGGUGAGUAACGCGUGGAUAACCUGCCGUAUACCGGGGGAUAACACUUAGAAAUAGGUGCUAAUACCGCAUAAGCGCACGGCUCCGCAUGAAGCAGUGUGAAAAACUCCGGUGGUAUACGAUGGAUCCGCGUCUGAUUAGCUGGUUGGCGGGGUAACAGCCCACCAAGGCGACGAUCAGUAGCCGGCCUGAGAGGGUGAACGGCCACAUUGGGACUGAGACACGGCCCAAACUCCUACGGAAGGCAGCAG
rnacentral:rRNA from 1 species